GACGAACGCUGGCGGCGUGCUUAACACAUGCAAGUCGAACGGAAAGGCCCUGCUUUUGUGGGGUGCUCGAGUGGCGAACGGGUGAGUAACACGUGAGUAACCUGCCCUUGACUUUGGGAUAACUUCAGGAAACUGGGGCUAAUACCGGAUAGGAGCUCCUGCUGCAUGGUGGGGGUUGGAAAGUUUCGGCGGUUGGGGAUGGACUCGCGGCUUAUCAGCUUGUUUGUGGGGUAGUGGCUUACCAAGGCUUUGACGGGUAGCCGGCCUGAGAGGGUGACCGGCCACAUUGGGACUGAGAUACGGCCCAGACUCCUACGGGAGGCAGCAGUGGGAAAUAUUGCACAAUGGGCGGAAGCCUGAUGCAGCAACGCCGCGUGCGGGAUGACGGCCUUCGGGUUGUAAACCGCUUUCGCCUGUGACGAAGCGUGAGUGACGGUAAUGGGUAAAGAAGCACCGGCUAACUACAUG
rnacentral:rRNA from 1 species